rnacentral:snoRNA from 2 species
CCCCUCUCAGGAUUGCACCUGGAGAGUUUCCAGUACUCUAUCAGUCUCAGCUAUGGGAGGGAGAGUCAAACAGAGGCCUGCCCACUCCAUUCCUAGCUUGCCCAGUGGCUAGUGUGUGGAACACAAUCUGCUACAAGU